rnacentral:rRNA from 1 species
UACGGGGGGGGCGAGCGUUGUUCGGAAUUACUGGGCGUAAAGGGUUUGUAGGUGGUCUGCUAAGUCAGACGUGAAAUCCCCCGGCUUAACCUGGGAACUGCGUCUGAUACUGGAGGGCUUGAGUAUGGGAGAGGGAUGUAGAAUUCCAGGUGUAGCGGUGAAAUGCGUAGAUAUCUGGAGGAAUACCGGUGGCGAAGGCGGCAUCCUGGACCAUUACUGACGCUGAGGCGCGAAAGCUAGGGGAGCAAACGGG